rfam:Canis lupus familiaris chromosome 10, whole genome shotgun sequence.
AGCUUUGCACACUGGCAGUAUCAUAGCCAAUGAGGUUUAUCCGAGGCGCAAUUAUUGAUAAUUGAAAACAUUUUCUAUUAAUAUGUUUUUAGAUAUGAGUAUCUUUUUAUUUAUCUUGCUUUUAAC